rnacentral:siRNA from 1 species
UCCGUCUGUGGGUGGUAGGCA